rnacentral:rRNA from 1 species
CACGUAGGGGGCAAGCGUUGUCCGGAUUUAUUGGGCGUAAAGAGCUCGUAGGCGGUUCGAUAAGUCGGGUGUGAAACCUCCAGGCUCAACCUGGAGACGCCACCCGAUACUGUCGUGACUAGAGUCCAGUAGGGGAGCGUGGAAUUCCUGGUGUAGCGGUGAAAUGCGCAGAUAUCAGGAGGAACACCAGCGGCGAAGGCGGCGCUCUGGGCUGGCACUGACGCUGAGGAGCGAAAGCGUGGGGAGCGAUCCGG